rnacentral:lncRNA from 1 species
AUCCAUUUAAUGGGACUUUACAAAAAUGAGUUAAUUUUUUUUAAGUCUGUUUGUGGCCCAGCUCAUUUUGGCUGCAGGCCAAAUUAUUCUGACUCUGCAUGUAUGCAGUCAGAUCCCGUAAGUGCUGUUUUCAAAUCAGUCUUGCUUCAUGGCACCCAGUGAAGCCUCAAAAUUAGGUGCAUGUUCAGCAUUGAGCAUUCAGUUACCAAGUUCCUUGCCCAAGGGGUAUCCUGACUAUAAGGACACAGUGCUACUGCCAACUAAGUUUCCACAUGAGGUUGUGUGUCAGAAAAGGAGAAAUUGUUGGAUUCUUAAGUUCUUACGCACUGAGGCAUCUAACUGUCAAAUUACAAGAUGGGAAGGAGAGAGCCCUAAGACCUUGCUACUCAGCAUGUGAUGCAGAGACUGGCAGCAGUCGCCUUACCUGGGAGCUUGAUGUUCCGAUGGUUGGUACCAACAUUUGUAUGAGAAGCACUGUUCUAAGGAAGAUCUCUGCAGAAGGUACAAGGACUCUAAUGUUAGGUCAUCAGAGCAGAUCUAGCUGUCUAAUCACUUGGAGGCAGCAAAGCUUGGUGGUCUCCUAGUUUUGUGACCUGGAGUGAAUUUAGAAUCUCUGUGCCUCAGUUUUCCUAUCUAGGAACUAUGGAUUAUGGUACCAUCUACCUCAUGAGAUUGUUUUGAGGAUAAAGAGUUAAUACAUGUAAUGUAUAAGCAGUGCUUGGCACAUGUGUUGCCAUUAUAGUUAGGAUUUUUACUAUCAGCUUCUGUAGCUACUAGGGCACUGCUUAAACAAAUUAAUGAACCCAAGUUUUACUUAAAAGACAAUGGAAUCUAAAGCCAGAAAGGAAUGAAAGCCACAUGAUUGUGGGCCUCCUGUCCUGCCAAGAGUCAGGGCUCAGAGUCUCACGACCUGCCUUCAACAGUAGCGGUCCAGUGGUUAUUGUUCACCCUGGAUAGCAUACACAGGCCCGGGGGUGGGCUGCUGGUGUUUACGAAGCUCUUCAAAUGUUUCUAAUGUAGCAGCGGGAUUUAGAAUCAUUGUACUAGGGCUUCUAACUUGCUAGGAAAAGAGCAGAACUUAGUCUGUUUGGAACCAAACUUGACAGAGACACUAUGGGGCGACUCUGAAUUGCACACAAUGUCUGCUACUGCAUCUAAACCCAUCUGGUAGUGGCAGCGGGGAGAUGUUACGACAGUUGUCAUCAAGAUCACCCUGGACACUUGGACAAAUGGGGUAAAGAGUUGUGGCAGUAGCUGUAGUUGUUUUCCCAUUAGCCUCAUUCUGAGGAGUUUCAGAGAAAAAUGGGGUUACUCUCUGGGCAUUCUCAACCACCAGGGUAAAAAUCUUGGGAGACUCAGCUACAUGUUCAAGCCCUUCUGCUAGUUUCUGGCUUGUCAUUUCACUUCCUGGCUUGUCACUCUACUUCCUAAUCACAUAGCUUUUAAAGAUGACCCUCCCUUCUCCCCCCCAACAAAAGGUCAGGCAUUUCCCUUUGCAACCUGGCUGCAUAUGGAAUCAUUUUUGGCAUUUAAAAAUACAAAAAUUAGCCAGGCGUGGUGGCAUGCACCUGUAAUCCCAGCUACUUGGGAGGCU